rnacentral:rRNA from 1 species
AGCUGACGGAGCACGCCGCGUGAGGGAUGAAGGCCUCUGGGCUGUAACCUCUUUUAUCAAGGAAGAAGAUCUGACGGUACUUGAUGAAUAAGCCACGGCUAAUUCCGUGCCAGCAGCCGCGGUAAUACGGGAGUGGCAAGCGUUAUCCGGAAUUAUUGGGCGUAAAGCGUCCGCAGGCGGUCUUUUAAGUCUGUCGUCAAAGCGUGGAGCUUAACUCCAUUUCUGCGAUGGAAACUGGAAGACUAGAGUGUGGUAGGGGCAGAGGGAAUUCCCGGUGUAGCGGUGAAAUGCGUAGAUAUCGGGAAGAACACCAGUGGCGAAGGCGCUCUGCUGGGCCAUAACUGACGCUCAUGGACGAAAGCCAGGGGAGCGAAAGGGAUUAGAUACCCCUGUAGUCCUGGCCGUAAACGAUGAACACUAGGUGUCGGGGGAAUCGACCCCCUCGGUGUCGUAGCCAACGCGUUAAGUGUUCCGCCUGGGGAGUACGCACGCAAGUGUGAAACUCAAAGGAAUUGACGGGGGCCCGCACAAGCGGUGGAGUGUGUGGUUUAAUUCGAUGCAACGCGAAGAAACUUACC